UACGUAGGGGGCAAGCGUUAUCCGGAUUUACUGGGUGUAAAGGGAGCGUAGACGGCGGGGCAAGUCUGGAGUGAAAGGCCGGGGCCCAACCCCGGGACCGCUCUGGAAACUGCCCGGCUGGAGUGCGGGAGAGGUAAGCGGAAUUCCUAGUGUAGCGGUGAAAUGCGUAGAUAUUAGAAAGAACACCAGUGGCGAAGGCGACUUGCCGGGCCAUCACUGACGGUCAGGGACGAAAGCGUGGGGAGCAAAUAGG
rnacentral:rRNA from 1 species